ACAACAACAACAGUUAACAGAGUACAAAAAACCACCAGCAACCACAACAAUUGCGAGCAACUUCCAUGGAAAAACCCAUUCCAACAAACGGUGUUUAACAACCUCAACAACAAACAACGUCAAUUCCCAAAACUCAGCCACGUCACCAUUUCUUAGCUCUUCAACCCGUUGAAACCAACAAUGGCAGAGAAAUAGUCCCCAAACCGUGAUACAACGAAAAUUGUUCUGAAAUUCUUCAUUAAUUCAAGAUAUGAAAGAGAUUCUUUGUUGAAUUUGAAUUCAAACUCCAUCCACACAUUUUUUUUGAAAAAAAUUUCACUUUAAUUCCGGAUUUGAAAAUCCAGAUUUCAUUUAUAAAUAGCCCUUUCUUCACCAUGAAAAGGAAUGAGGAUUUCUUGAGGAAAAACUUGAGGGUUCUGGAGGUGCUCACCUCUAACCCUACGUAACCGAGAAAUUUUUAGUGCACUCUCAAAAUUCAUCCUAAAUCGUUGGAAUUUCAUUAAAGCACUGAAAUUGUGGUGGAAGUUGUUCCGAUAAGGUUUUGAAGACUCGUUCGCUGCUCCAAAAAGGAAUGGCUCAAUCAUACCCCUGUAAAAAAUUCAAGAUGGUUACCGGACCUGAUAACUUUAUGAAAGCAUGGUCAACUCAUAUAGAUGGAAAAGACAAAGAGAUUGUUAGUACACAUAUCGAACAUCUACCUUCGCUUAUAGAGAUGGAUGUUUGGCUUGAAAUGAUCUAUGUGCUAUCAACAUUCUGGGAUGAUAGCAACAUGGAGUUUCGCUUUGGGGAAAUGGAAUUGACUCCCACUAUUGAAGAAGUAAUGACCUAUUAUGAGAGCAUUGAUAUGUGUAGGAAAAGAAAGAGUGCACCCGACAAAAGUAUUCUAGCCCCUACUGUAUGGAACCGUCAGGAGAUCAAGGAUGCCUUUUCAAUCAGUGAUGAUACCUGGUUGGGUGAACAUGAUGAAGAUAACAUAUUUUUUCUUGAGUUAUAUCGCUAGUUUGAAAAGUAUAACGUUUUUGAGAAGUUUGGGCAUAAGUUCGAAUCAGAGUCAAAAUGGAAAGAGAAAAGAGCAUUUGCUUU